rnacentral:rRNA from 1 species
GCCCAGCCCUAAACAUAGAUAAAAACCCACCCAUUUAUCCGCCUGGGAACUACGAGCGUCAGCUUAAAACCCAAAGGACUUGGCGGUGCUUUAGAUCCACCUAGAGGAGCCUGUUCUAGAACCGAUAAUCCCCGUUAAACCUCACCUCUUCUUGUCUAAUCCGCCUAUAUACCGCCGUCGUCAGCUUACUCUGUGAGGAAUUUGUAGUAAGCAUAACCGGCACAGCCUCAAACGCCAGGUCGAGGUGUAGCGAAUGGAGAGGGAAGAAAUGGGCUACAUUCAAUAACCUAUAAUGAAUACGAAUGAUAUUCUGAAAAAAAUAUCUGAAGGAGGAUUUAGUAGUAAGUAGAGAAUAGAGAGCCCUACUGAAAUCGGCCCUGAAGCGCGU